rnacentral:lncRNA from 1 species
UUCUAUAUAUAUAUAUAUUAUUUUUGUUUUUUCCUUUAAUUACUCAAAAGUUACAAUCAAAAUCUAUAUAGCGAAGAUCAAUUAAACAAGACAAGUUAAAAUGGGCAGAAGCAAAAGCAGAACUUGUAGAUAUCAGCUGUUGUAUGCAAAAGGGGAUGACAACGAAGAAGACUUUUACUAACAUCUUUAACGAAUUUUCUAAUGUCUUUCGAGAAGAUGGAAUCGAAACUGUACAAAAAAGUCCCAGUACAUCUGUAAUUCUAACAAAAUAAAUAGAAGAAAAGAACGAAUAAUAAAUAGACAACAUUAAUAAAAA